GACGAACGCUGGCGGCGUGCCUAAUACAUGCAAGUCGAGCGCAGGAAAUCAUCCGAACCCUUCGGGGGGACGUUGAUGGAAUGAGCGGCGGACGGGUGAGUAACACGUAAAGAACCUGCCCUCAGGUCUGGGAUAACCACGAGAAAUCGGGGCUAAUACCGGAUGGGUCAUCGGACCGCAUGGUCCGAGGAUGAAAGGCGCUCCGGCGCCGCCUGGGGAUGGCUUUGCGGUGCAUUAGCUAGUUGGUGGGGUAAUGGUCCACCAAGGCGACGAUGCAUAGCCGACCUGAGAGGGUGAUCGGCCACACUGGGACUGAGACACGGCCCAGACUCCUACGGGAGGCAGCAGUAGGGAAUCUUCCACAAUGGACGAAAGUCUGAUGGAGCAACGCCGCGUGAACGAUGAAGGCCUUCGGGUCGUAAAGUUCUGUUGUAAGGGAAGAACAAGUGCCGCAGGCAAUGGCGGCACCUUGACGGUACCUUGCGAGAAAGCCACGGCUAACUACGUGCCAGCAGCCGCCGUAACAC
rnacentral:rRNA from 1 species